UACAGAGGUGGCAAGCGUUGUUCGGAAUUACUGGGCGUAAAGCGCACGUAGGCGGAUUUGUAAGUCAGGGGUGAAAUCCCGGGGCUCAACCUCGGAACUGCCUUUGAUACUGGAGAGCUUGAGUCCGGAAGAGGUGAGUGGAACUCCGAGUGUAGAGGUGAAAUUCGUAGAUAUCGAGAGGAACACCUGUGGCGAAGGCGGCCUUCUGGACAGUGACUGACGCUGAGACGCGAAAGCGUGGG
rnacentral:rRNA from 1 species